UCUGCUCCGAUUAAAGUGUUCCUCUUGGUGCGGGGGUUCGACGGCAAGCAACAACGGCUCGCGGUGGCCACCAAUGGUCUUGGGUGGUGGAAAAAUGAAGUGUUAGGGUUUGGGUGGUGUUUUGGAGAAGAGGAGAGUGAAAAAUCGUGUUUUUCACGCUGUGGAACGUAUUUAUAAUUUGUAGAUCUCGCUAAACCAAAAUCCACUUUUCGCGCUUAGCGCGAGAAUUCGGGCUUAGCACAACUCCCUUUGCACUAGGGCUUGCUUAGCGGGCCAAAUCUCGCUCAGCGAAAUUCCCUCUCGGGUUGGAAUUGCGAUUAGCGCACCCCUGCUCGCUUAGCGUAAUUCCCUCUCGGGUUGGAAUUGCGCUUAGUGCGUCCUUCUCACGUAGUGACACAUCAAAAGUUGUUAUUUUCAAAAUCCCAAUGGUCAGACUGUGGAAACAUGUCUUAGGAAGCUCUAGGAAAAAUUUGAAGAUGAUCCAACGGUUAACGAAUCUGUUAUCGCGAUUUUACUGAGAUAGGUAUGGAUAAAAUCUGAAAUCUCAUAAUUUCAACUUAGUUCAGUAAAACUCCACAUAACUUAGCAUCAACAUCAAGAAAUUCAUACAUGACUAAUUCAAGUAAUACCUCAACUCAUUCAAGUCAACCAUAUAGUCAAAUAACAUGAUAAAUACAAUUAAACAUCGAUUUAUAACUAGUAAUAUUUCAGGGUGUUACAAAACUAGCAGUUUCCAUUUGCCUGACAGAGAGGUGACUAUCACCUUGGAUGACGUUGCGUCGUUGUUACAUUUGCCUAUUGUAGGGUCAUUCCACAGCUUCGAGCUACUUCAUGUCGAUGACGCUGUCGAGAUGUUGGUGGAGUUACUCGAGGUCAGUGCUGCAAAGGCGAGAGUUGAGACCAUUCAGUGUCAUGGGUCUUAUGUGCGACUAUUGUGGAUGCGCGACCUGUAUGAGCUGAAGAUUAAGGCAUGUGACUAGAUUGUAGCAGUGCAAACGUAUUUGUUGUAUCUCCUUGGAUGCACACUCUUUGCUAACAAGAGUGUCACAUAUGUGCACGUGGUAUUCUUAGAUGCAUUGCGUGACCUGACGCAGAGUGCGGGUUACGCUUGGGGCGCUGCUGCACUUGUGCACAUGUAUGAUAGUUUAAAUGACGCGCCCAAAAGCACGGCGAGACAGCUUGUAGGAUAUAUCACUCUAUUACAGUGUUGGAUUUACGAGCAUUUUCCGUCCGUUGCUUUCGUUGUUGCUACCGAGGAUUACGAUGAAAGGAGACCGCGUGCAUGUCAUUGGACCUCUGGCAAGGCACUGCCCGUUUCCACAUAUCAGAGGCGUCUGGAUAGACUAACCCUUGACGCGGUGUGCUGGAUUUCGUAAGGUAACCACCGUUCAUUUAGAGAAUUUGAGGUCAUCUCAUUAUUUUCGGCCAUCUCAGAUGGGGCCCCUUGACGGUCAUUCACCGACUGGAGAGGGUUACACGACAGUUCGGCUACAUCCAGACUAUUCCGCCACACCAUAUCGUGUCUUCACUGUCUGCUGCUGAAAUUGAUGAUAGAUGGAUGCAGUUUGGUGACUACAUUGCACCUGUAGGGCAAUUAUGUGCAGUUCCUGACCACUGUUUGCUAGAUUACCUGGAUUGGUUUUACAUGAUCUCGCACCCAUUCAUGAGUCUGACACAGCCAAGGGAUCCUCCUAGAGUAUCGCCGGUUCAACAAGAUGAAGAAUUUGUUGAACCAGAUAUGCAUCAGCAACACCUAAUGAGGCAGACAUUGAUCAACAUCAUCUUCGGCAUGCAGUGCAUGACUUUACAGCAAUUGUUGAUAGGUUGGACAGGCUACUAAACCUGAGGAUCUUGACCAAAGGAACAAAAGCCUAUACUGUUGUUGAAGAAUGUGUGAGCAUCGCAAGAUGCUACAUUGGCCAGCCAACUGUAGCCCAUAGAUCGAGGCGAAGGUGGCAUACAGACGGACAUUGAAGUUUUACUUUAACUUUGUAAAUUUUCAGUUUAUAAUUUUUGUAUAUUUAUUUAUUUUGGAUAUUUUAUUUAUUUUGUAUAUUUAUUUAUGGAU